UGAAGGGCUGAGCCCAGGAUGUGACAGGUCUUUCCAUUACUAAGAGUCAUACCAGUGUCACUCCCCAGUGGAGGAACACUGGAGUCGUUUCUGUCUCGGGUUGCAGCUUAUUGCAUAUAAACCUCGAGCAUCACUUCCCAACAUCUUGCUCCUUGUGGUUCCUCGUUCGUCGCUCGCCUGUCACAUCCUCGAGACGCCCGCGCGCGGCCCCCUCCUGCCGUGUAUGCCGCGUCAUAUCUGUUGAAAUAUGAUGAUAUUUUCUUAACCCGAUUAAGCCUCCCGAGUGGGAUGCGGGAACAUGCCGCUCCGUCUCAGCUCCACGCCGCUCACGCGCCAAACGCAUAAAAGAGGCAAACAAAACAACCCAAAGAGCGCUCGCGAAGCCCCGAAUAAUCCAGAAGGAGAUCCUCUACACUAAAAAAAAUAAUUCAAGCCCUUCUUAGAGGUGAUACAUUUAAAUAUGGUUUGAUACAGUUAAUUAAAUCAAUUACAAAAAUGAACAUAUUUAUAUUUAAUGUGUGUAACAGAAAAUGUAGGAACACUUUCAUGUAUUAGAUUUAUUUAGGUUAGAUGGUGUGCAUAUCAUUGCAAAAUAAAUGUGUUUAAUUGGGGGCUACGCUUUGCGCAUGUGCCAGAUCUCCUGCUCUCAGUCAUCUAACUGUCUUUUCUCCUGACUGACCAGAUGCAGCAAGAUUAAUGACUCAUACCAACUAAAUUACUUGGAUAAUGCAUGUGUGAAGAAUGCAGUUUGAACUUAAUGGCAGGUAUUUGUUGUUGUGACAUUUUAGGCAGACUCGUGGGCAGUUCAGGGGCAGCAGUUAUCUCUACCCAUGUCCAUACACGGACUGUCCAGGUACAUUUAAUUCAUGGAGUAAGCUUUUAAAUCACACAUACAAAAGCCACCCGAAACAGAAAACUCCAAGGCCAGUAGAAGUACCUACAAUCAGUGUCAUGUGCUUUUGUAGAGAGUUAGUAACCAUUAGCAAUCAUUUAUUUCUUGAUUUGUCGCCCCUGUUUCAGUAUGACAUCAACACCAGGGGGAGUGCAUCGUGAGAAGCCUUGUCAUCGACCUCAAUGAAGAUCUUUGAGUUCGCUGGGUGUUUAUUUUCCCCCAGUUGCUGAACUGUUACAGGAGAACCGUUUGCAGGGUAUUUGAUGAGGAACACUCCUCUUAAAAUGUUCUUACAAAUAAAAAUGUUAAUAUCUUUCUUUUGUGCAUUGAAGUUCAAUUGAGAUGUAUUGUUAAUGACUUCCUGAUCAGUCCGUUUAUUUUUUUCUAUUUGUUAAAUAUGUAUUAUUUAAAUGCAGUCGUAUAAAGUGAUUUCGUCAGUUUUGACCAUAUUAAACUUAUUUCAGUAUUUGCAAUAAAAACCUCAA